GUCGAGGGGCAGCACGGGUAGCAAUACCUGGUGGCGACCGGCAAACGGGUGCGGAACACGUACGCAACCUUCCCAUAACUGGUGAAUAGCCCUCCGAAAGGAGGAUUAAUACACCGUAACAUAAUGAAGUGGCAUCACUUUAUUAUUAUAGGCAGCAAUGUCGGUUUUGGAUGGGCGUGCGCCUGAUUAGGUAGUUGGCGGGGUAACGGCCCACCAAGCCUGCGAUCAGUAACUGGUGUGAGAGCACGACCAGUCACACGGGCACUGAGACACGGGCCCGACUCCUACGGGAGGCAGCAGUAAGGAAUAUUGGUCAAUGGACGAAAGUCUGAACCAGCCAUGCCGCGUGAAGGAUUAAGGCCCUCUGGGUUGUAAACUUCUUUUAUCUGGGACGAAAAAAGGGUAUUCUUACUCACUUGACGGUACCAGAGGAAUAAGCACCGGCUAACUCCGUGCCAGCAGCCGCGGUAAUACGGAGGGUGCAAGCGUUAUCCGGAUUUACUGGGUUUAAAGGGUGCGUAGGUGGGUUUGUAAGUCAGUGGUGAAAUCUCCGAGCUUAACUCGGAAACUGCCAUUGAUACUAUAGAUCUUGAAUUAUCUGGGGGUAAGCGGAAUAUGUCAUGUAGCGGUGAAAUGCUUAGAUAUGACAUAGAACACCAAUUGCGAAGGCAGCUUACUACGGAUAUAUUGACACUGAGGC
rnacentral:rRNA from 1 species